CAUGGUUGUUGUAACAAGUCUGAUACAGUCAUGAUAUAACAAGAGUGUUACAAGGUUGACGACACAAAGUUGUAACAAUAUUGUUAUAUCAUGACUGUGUCGGACUUGUUGGAACAACCUUGC
rnacentral:miRNA from 1 species